UACGUAGGGUGCGAGCGUUAAUCGGAAUUACUGGGCGUAAAGCGUGCGCAGGCGGCGCGUUAAGACAGGUGUGAAAGCCCCGAGCUUAACUUGGGAAUUGCGCUUGUGACUGGCGUGCUGGAGUGUGGCAGAGGGAGGUGGAAUUCCACGUGUAGCAGUGAAAUGCGUAGAGAUGUGGAGGAACACCGAUGGCGAAGGCAGCCCCCUGGGUCAAGAUUGACGCUCAUGCACGAAAGCGUGGGGAGCAAACAGG
rnacentral:rRNA from 1 species